ACAAGCUGAAAUAAUUAUUCCCAGUAAAGUGUAAUUAAAUACCGAAAUGCAUGUGAUGUAACUAAAUCGCCUCAAUCCCUAACUCCACUAACCUUGGUGAGCUUCCUCAAAACGGACAUGAAAAUACUUCUAUGUGAUACUUCUGUGUAAUCAUUUGUACGGUACUAUUGUUGAAAGUAAUCAAAAGCGAUUUGACCUCAAUUUGCGCUGUAAUGCCACCGACAUACACACACAUUAACGACAUAUGUAUGUUUCUAGCUAUUAGAAAUCUAAAUCCAUUGAGCUGUUUGUACAUGUUAUCACAUUUUUUUGUUCGUCCGCAUUUCCUGUCACGAUUUGUCACCAUUCGCCAUUCGUGUCCGUUAUGUAAUUAUGUACUUAUUUUGUGUAUAUAAGUUUGUUUAUAUUGUUUGUAUAUUUUUGUUCGUGAUUUGGCUUCCUUAUCGUCAUGUUGCAUGUGCCACAUACUCCUCAAAGUUAAACAUUUCUAUCGAGGAUUUGUUUCGAAUCGAACUCAUCACGUUUUCAGUGCAAUAUUCGAAUUAUCACACGUUUCUUAAAAGCUCAAAAGCAAUAUACUUACAUAUAUAUAUGUAUAUCUUUAUAUAUAUAAAUCUUCUGACCGUGUGUUUGCCUUGAGAUUGCUCCUAAACGGAUGGGCCGAUUUUGAUGAAAUUUUGUCUGUACGUUCAAGGAGAUUCGGGAAAGGUUUAUGUUUACAAUUUGGUCCACUGGAAAAUGUUUUUUAAAUUAUUUUUUCAUUUUUAAUCAAUUUUUAAUUUUGUAAUGUUUGAUCGAUAGAUGGCGCUACCAUCGCAGUAUCCAAUAUUCAAACCUUAAAUUGGCGUAAACGUGUAUGAAACAAAACGAUGCCAAAGUAAAAGGCGAUAUCGUUUUAUAUAUAUCAUUAUGAGGAAAAGUCGGAAAAUUGGACAUUUCUAAAAAGUAAAUUUUUUCCAUACACAUUUUUUUUUCAAUUUUUGUUUAUUUUGUUUUUCAAUAUUUUGAUUUGUAAAUUAUUUGAUUCGUUCAAUUUCGGUCGCUUGCUUUUUUUUUCGUCUAUUCAAAAGAAAAAUUAUUGAAAAUUAUUCAGUGAAAACUUUACGUGUGUUUCACACAAAGAGGUCAAUUGCAGAUUGAAAUUUGUUACGAAGAGGUCGACCUAAUAUCGGUCGGUGUUCUUUUUGCCAACAAAGUAUGGCAGGCCAAGGCAAGGCAAGGCAAGAAGUACUCCCAGGAUGCGGAGACAUACGUUCGGAAUUAUAAUUCGCGGUCAAUCAGCAAGUGAUCGUCACGAUGUUACAGCACGACUUUUCCUACAACAGUUACGAUGUUUGAUUGUCUUUAUCUUGAAGCAACGUAUAUGUGGUGCUGUUGGAUGAGAUGUACUUUGUUGAGUAGCAAAAACCUCUAUUUUGCAUGCACACAUUCUUCUUUGGAUGAUGGUUACACCAUAAUAUGAUUCAUGGACCUUGCGGACAUUACAAUCCCACUUCGGUUUGUAUGUCUGACAAUAAAUGCACGAAACACUAUUCACUCUGCUUUUCUUUCGGAAGCACAAACUAGAAAUGGUAGAUAUCAACUCUAUCGGCGUCGCUCACCAGAUAACAGAACGUUCAGCAUUCAACUUAGAAGAGUGAAUAUCGAAGUUGACAACACAUGGAUCGUACUGUAUUCACCAUUAUUGUCUAAUUCACAUUCAAAACUCAUAUCAGUGUUUAGUAUUGCAGUUUGGUGGAAUCGAUAAAAUACGUUUGGAAAUACGUGACCAAAGGAAGCACAACUUUCGUCAGUGAUCCAUUUGCAAGGACAUUCGGAAAUACUUUGAUAUUAUAAUUGGGAUGCAUCGUCGAAGAAAUAGUUACGCAGAAAGCAAGGCCAACCAGUAGAUUGACAUCCAGGUGUCUUAUUAACUAAUGCAUUAGGACGAAUUUACACAAUCCACCCGAAAAACAACGAUUGUUUCUACCUUCGGUUGCUAUUGAUUAAGGUACGCGGUUCAACUUUAUUUGAGUCAUUGUUUACUGUGAAUGGUAUAUGGGAAUAUGUGAAAGUUUUGGAGAAGUAAGCCAGCAAUUACAAAUGCUGGAACACGUUAAUCACUGGAAUGAAAAUGAAGUUCGCAUACUUUUCGAUAUAAAGAUUGUCAAAGACAUUUUACAUCGUCUUCGCUAAAAAUUGGAAAUGGUACAAUAACGGUUGAUACUUCCGGUGGUUCGAUAUCAAUUCCAUCUUCCCUUUGUCAAUUCACGAAAGAUGAACUCAUCACGAAUGUUCGGACAUUGGCCAAAUUAUCGUAACUACGAUUCCUUAAGUGCACGCGCAAUGUUAGCUGCCAAAAAUACCGAUGUUGAUGACUUAAACUGGAAGAUUCAAAGUCAAAUUCCGGGAGACUUGCGUUCAUACAAAUCAAUCGAUCAUCUUGACAAUGACGACGACGCCGUCAAUUAUCCAGUGAAAUUUCUAAAUUCUUUGGAGAGGCUUGGUAUGCCACCGCAUCCUGUGCGUCUCAAAGUUGGACCUGUCAUUAUUAUGUUUCGCAAUCUUCAUGCACCGAAACUGUGUAAUGAAACCCGACUGAUUGUGAAGCACCCAUCGAAAACAAGGGCGCAGAAUGCUUGAUUUGAAAAUUGAAUUUGAGAUGACGAUCAACAGGAUAGUCGCAUAGUGGGUGACAUAAAUUUGAAAAUGCUAUGUUUUUCACACGGCCAGAUAUAAGUGGCGUGCACACGAGUUGGAAAACCAUCUUCUCUGUACAUUAACGCACCGGGACAGAAACCAAAAAAUGUUGUUUAUCAAGCUGCGUUACAUUGAAAAAAAUGUAGAAAAAUCUCAAUUAAAUGAUAUCAACACAAUAUGAA